GAAUUACUGGGCGUAAAGCGCACGUAGGCGGACUUUUAAGUCAGAUGUGAAAUCCCAAGGCUCAACCUUGGAACUGCAUUUGAAACUGGGAGUCUAGAGAUCAGGAGAGGUUAGCGGAAUACCGAGUGUAGAGGUGAAAUUCGUAGAUAUUCGGAGGAACACCAGUGGCGAAGGCGGCUCACUGGCUCGAUACUGACGCUGAGGUGCGAAAGC
rnacentral:rRNA from 1 species